AGGACACUGUGAAUCGAGAGUUGAUCUGUGAAUGGCUCCUUAGACCAGUUGCCAUCGACGUGAUAGACCGUGUGUGGCACCAGCCUCUCGCCCAAGGCGCUCAGUUGGACAUCCCUCAAAACCUGGUGGCUAAUACACGAUCAAGAGGUCAGCCAAAGGACCUGUGGUGAUGCAACAACCCUCAAAGUCGCUUCGCGUCUCACCCUCAGUGGUAGACUGCAACCAGCUGGUGAUCAAGACCUGUGCUCCGCAACUCGGAGCAGCGUUGACCCCGCGAUGAACCAAGCUGGAUCUCAAUGGCGUAUCGAAACGAAAGGCAAGGGACAGUCAGCUCUGGCGAUUUGAUCUCGGCUGUGGCUCAGGCCUCAGCUGGAUCUACACGACAUGUGUGCUCGUGGUCUCACCGAGGCCUCGUUCACUCAGCUUGAUCAUGCGAACUUCUGACCUAUCAGCUCGAUGGUGAUGCAAUGGAUCACACUGGCCUCGACGGGUAACGGGGAAUGAGGGUCUGAUUCCGGAGAGGGAGCCUUAGAGACGGCUACCACUGCUACGGCGGGCAGCAGGCACGCAAAUUGCCCCAUGAACGAACACCCAUUGAGGCAGCAACGAACUGCAGCAACCGUGCAUGACCUCAUUGGUCGGUACGGCUUGUAAUGGAUGCAACCCAAACACAGUUAUGAGUAGCCACUGGAGAGCAAGUCUGGUGCCAGCAGUCGCGGUAAUUCCAGCUCCGAGUGCGUAUGCUGUCAUUGCUGCUGUUAAAGCGCUCGUAGUCAGACAAUGGGUUGCAGGGACCGUGUAGCCACGCAGGCCCAGUGGGCUCCCAGAUGCCCCGUGCAGAUGGUCCCAUCGGACAACCCAGCAGCUGCACGUGACCCACGUCCCUCGGCAACUAGGACGUCUCUCUGCUUCCCACAGCUCAUUGCUGCUGCAUCGGCUCACCCGUUGGCCCGGUGCACCCAGUCUGGAUGGCAUGAUGUGCUCUUGCUGCAAGCGCCCUUUACUGGACCCUGAGGCGGUGAUGCUCACAACGCUAGUCAUUGGCAACAGUCCGUGUGGAACCACGACCCCGUGUCUGGAAGCCCAGAUCCACACCAGCCAGCCCUCAGAGCCUGCCAUCAUUGUCACUCUGGUGAAAGCAGUGUGCUCCAAGCGUCCAACCGAAGUCCCCCGCUCGACGGGGGACCCUCAGUCAAGGCUGAAUGUGCAACCAGUGAAUGCCAACCACACGACCGCGUGAGGCAAUGCUUGUGCCGGUCUUGAGACCCACGACUUGGGUAGUGUGGCUGGGGGGAACCGGGGACUGGGUCGCUCCUCGCAGAGGACGAGCCUGACGCGUGCUUCCCUGUCCCAGCCACUCGAUCCCGGAUGGGAUGCAGCCUCACGGGGUGAAGGGAACCUUUGUGUCAGAGGUGAAAUUCUUAGACCGCAAUGAGACCACCUGAGGCGAAGGCUCUUCGACCAACUAGCCUGUCUCUCUCGAUCAAGAAUGGCAGUUUGGGGAGCCAAGAUGAUCAGACACCGUCGUAGUCCAGCGCCGUAAACCGUACCAUCCGAGUCCUGCAGCUAUGCGUGCUUCCCAUUGCCCCAGGACUCACACCCCUGACCGAGAGAAAUCCCAAGCGGGUCCAGGGGGGAGUACAGUCGCAAGGCAGAAACUUAAAGGAAUUGACGGAGUGGCACCACAAGGCGUGGAGUAUGCGGCUUAAUUUGACUCAACGCGGGGAAUGUUACUAGGCCAGCACAUGGCAAGGAUGGACAGACUGAGAGCUCUUUCU
rnacentral:rRNA from 1 species